CGGACGGGUGAGUAAUGUCUGGGAAACUGCCUGAUGGAGGGGGAUAACUACUGGAAACGGUAGCUAAUACCGCAUAACGUCGCAAGACCAAAGAGGGGGACCUUCGGGCCUCUUGCCAUCGGAUGUGCCCAGAUGGGAUUAGCUAGUAGGUGGGGUAAAGGCUCACCUAGGCGACGAUCCCUAGCUGGUCUGAGAGGAUGGCCAGCCACACUGGAACUGAGACACGGUCCAG
rnacentral:rRNA from 1 species